ACGGGGCAAGGGACCCACAGAGAAAGAGAAGGCGACAAGGACCAUCGAAGUGGGGUCCACCUGACUCAUGGUCUUGCUGGCACUUCUAUUCACCUGUCCUUGUCUUCCGGACCCACAACAGCUGCCCGUACAUCACGGUCAGCCACUACCCUCCUGCCCCUUGCACGUGCACCUUUCUUCACAUCCCAACCUACACAACAGAAUCAUUGCAAAUUGCC
rnacentral:lncRNA from 1 species